rnacentral:rRNA from 1 species
AGAGUUUUGGACAUGGCUCAGAUUGAACGCUGGCGGCAGGCCUAACACAUGCAAGUCGAACGGUAGCACAGAGAGCUUGCUCUCGGGUGACGAGUGGCGGACGGGUGAGUAAUGUCUGGGAAACUGCCUGAUGGAGGGGGAUAACUACUGGAAACGGUAGCUAAUACCGCAUAAUGUCGCAAGACCAAAGAGGGGGACCUUCGGGCCUCUUGCCAUCAGAUGUGCCCAGAUGGGAUUAGCUAGUAGGUGGGGUAACGGCUCACCUAGGCGACGAUCCCUAGCUGGUCUGAGAGGAUGACCAGCCACACUGGAACUGAGACACGGUCCAGACUCCUACGGGAGGCAGCAGUGGGGAAUAUUGCACAAUGGGCGCAAGCCUGAUGCAGCCAUGCCGCGUGUAUGAAGAAGGCCUUCGGGUUGUAAAGUACUUUCAGCGGGGAGGAAGGUGUUGUGGUUAAUAACCGCAGCAAUUGACGUUACCCGCAGAAGAAGCACCGGCUAACUCCGUGCCAGCAGCCGCGGUAAUACGGAGGGUGCAAGCGUUAAUCGGAAUUACUGGGCGUAAAGCGCACGCAGGCGGUCUGUCAAGUCGGAUGUGAAAUCCCCGGGCUCAACCUGGGAACUGCAUUCGAAACUGGCAGGCUGAGUCGAGGGGA